rnacentral:rRNA from 1 species
GUACACUCCUACGGGAGGCAGCAGUGGGGAAUUUUGGACAAUGGGCGAAAGCCUGAUCCAGCAAUGCCGCGUGAGUGAAGAAGGCCUUCGGGUUGUAAAGCUCUUUUGUCAGGGAAGAAACGGUGAAAGCUAAUAUCUUUUGCUAAUGACGGUACCUGAAGAAUAAGCACCGGCUAACUACGUGCCAGCAGCCGCGGUAAUACGUAGGGUGCAAGCGUUAAUCGGAAUUACUGGGCGUAAAGCGUGCGCAGGCGGUUUUGUAAGUCUGAUGUGAAAUCCCCGGGCUCAACCUGGGAAUUGCAUUGGAGACUGCAAGGCUAGAAUCUGGCAGAGGGGGGUAGAAUUCCACGUGUAGCAGUGAAAUGCGUAGAUAUGUGGAGGAACACCGAUGGCGAAGGCAGCCCCCUGGGUCAAGAUUGACGCUCAUGCACGAAAGCGUGGGGAGCAAACAGGAUUAGAAACCCCGGUAGUCCC